rnacentral:lncRNA from 1 species
AUCAAUAUAAUUAAGGAUUCAUGCGCUCUCCUUAAUCCGAGGUCCUACGUGGCAUAUCUAAGAAUUCAAGGUUUAAAAUUCUUGCAAUUCUAGAGCCUCUAGCUCAAUUCUUUAUCACUGACGUGACAAUAUAAUUCCACAUAAGCUAUAUUUUAUAUAUACAUUAUUUUAUUUAUUAUAUUAUAGUACAUCAAAUUACAUGGCAUCAGCACCAAAAAUAUUGUAAUAAAUGAAAAAAAAAUUGGUAAUCGAUUCACCAUUCUCCUAUCCUCCACUAGAAUCCAUUUCGCCCC